ACUAAAUAAGGGUGCAGUGUGUGGAGUGGACAACACGAGCGUCUUCUUCGGAAGCUCAACGGAGUGCAGUAGUGCUAGGGUUCAACAAACAGCGUCCAUGGCUUCCCAGAGUUCAAGAGCUGCACGAUUUCGUUCACAUGCGAAGGAGUUGCUAUGCGGAUAUGGCAAGAUGCCAAUUUUGUGAAUUUCAUCCACGUAAGCUGGGACGAAAAUUUUGGGGCUGCGUAUACUAUGAGGUUUAGGAUGGUUGUGAUUUUUUCCGUUGGGCAAAUCCGGAACUUGGAGGAGCUCAGCAGGAGAUUGAAAUUGCAAGAACCAAGAGGAAGAUUACAAACUUAAAAUCAAGAUUGAAGGAUGUUGAACGGAAGCUUAAGAUUGUUGCUACAUUAGGGAUUGUUGGUUGGA